AACACAUGCAAGUUGAACGGCAUCACGAUUAGACUUGUCUAGUUGGUGGCGAGUAGCGAACGGGUGAGUAACGCGUAGGAAUAUAUCUUAGGGUGGGGGAUAACUUGGGGAAACUCAGGCUAAUACCGCAUGAAAUCUAGGGAUGAAAGCUGGGGACUCGAGAGGGCCUGGCGCCUUAGGGAUAGCCUGCGUCCGAUUAGUUAGUUGGUGGGGUAAAGGCUUACCAAGGCGACGAUCGGUAGCUGGUCUGGGAGGAUGGUCAGCCACACUGGGACUGAGACACGGCCCAGACUCCUACGGGAGGCAGCAGUGGGGAAUAUUGCACAAUGGGCGCAAGCCUGAUGCAGCAACGCCGCGUGAGGGACGACGGCCUUCGGGUUGUAAACCUCUUUUAGCAGGGAAGAUAAUGACGGUACCCGCAGAAGAAGCCCCGGCUAACUUCGUGCCAGCCGCCGCCGUAA
rnacentral:rRNA from 1 species